rnacentral:rRNA from 1 species
GACGAACGCUGGCGGCGUGCUUAACACAUGCAAGUCGAACGGAAAGGCCCUGCUUUUGUGGGGUGCUCGAGUGGCGAACGGGUGAGUAACACGUGAGUAACCUGCCCUUGACUUUGGGAUAACUUCAGGAAACUGGGGCUAAUACCGGAUAGGAGCUCCUGCUGCAUGGUGGGGGUUGGAAAGUUUCGGCGGUUGGGGAUGGACUCGCGGCUUAUCAGCUUGUUGGUGGGGUAGUGGCUUACCAAGGCUUUGACGGGUAGCCGGCCUGAGAGGGUGACCGGCCACAUUGGGACUGAUAUACGGCCCAGACUCCUACGGGAGGCAGCAGUGGGGAAUAUUGCACAAUGGGCGGAAGCCUGAUGCAGCAACGCCGCGUGCGGGAUGACGGCCUUCGGGUUGUAAGCCGCUUUCGCCUGUGACGAAGCGUGAGUGACGGUAAUGGGUAAAGAAGCACCGGCUAAGUACGUG